ACCAAGAACCAGCAGGAAUAGCAAAUAACUCUUCACCCUGCAUCAUCAGCAGAUAAUAUUGUGCUGACUGUGCUCCCUCGAGAUGACCAUGAAACUGAAAUUGACCAGUUUCAUCCUCUAAUAGCCAUGGUUUAUUCUUGUACUUCUCCCGCAAAGUAUCUGUAACUUGACGUCCUUGCAAACCUUCUUUUUGUAAAGUCCAUUUACUGUCAUUCUUCUUUUUUGAAAAUUUUGGUAAGCCUGAAGCAAAUCUAGCAAUGAAAUGGUUCUUGUCAUUGCUGGAGCAAGCCCGAACAUUAUAUUCUCGAAUCAAUCGUGUAACUGGAGUUCCACACUCAUAGCACUUAUCACGAGUCUCAGCCAUGUUUUUACCACAAGACAAACAGAGAGUCAAAUGCUUGCAUGAGCUUCCAUACAGAUCCGAGGAUGAACCACACCUGCUACAUGAAGGUUUCAGAAUCAAAUCUAUCGACAUUACUGUCCCGUUAACUAUUGUUGAUUUCGUUUCAGUAGUUGAAAUUUAUUCAAUUUGAUUUCUUGUUAAGGAGUGUUCGUUAGAUCGAGAGGAGAUUGAAG
rnacentral:misc_RNA from 1 species